GCCAUACCCAUACCCAUGUCGUGUCGUGUCAUGUCCUACAUGGAUGAUCUCUGAGCAUCAUAUGCUACAGUGGUCUUCCACAUGUGAUGAAGAAACAAAAGAGAGAAAGGGGAUGAUAGAGAGAAGAGAGAGAGAGGAAAAUGAUUACAGUUUGAGUAUGAAAUUUGGUGGGGGUGGAUGGGAUGGGGUGAGGUAAAAUGGCUAUGUAGAUUAAUUUAAUUUUAUAAUAUUAUUAUUAAUAUUAAAAAUUUGAAUUAUAUUCUCAUUUUUUAAUAAAGAAAUUUUAAACUUGAUUUUUGAAUUGGAAAAUUAGAAGUUAUGUGUGGGUGUAAUUUUCAUCAUAAAUAAUCCCUCAAACCCACAAACCAUGUAUACAAAUCCGAACCAGUGCCCGCGCCCGCGCCCGCGCCCGCGCCCGCGCCCAUACCCUUUGUCACACAAAAGUCUACGAAGUGCAUUAUCCAAGCCCAUCACACGCAACCAGCUACCCCAGCACAAUCAACCUUGUAUCUCUCACACCCCUAAUUAUGUCCGCCACCGGCUACCACUUUGAUGUUGGCAACUUAUAUCAAGCUGCCAUCACCCUCUUCUUCAAAUUUGGAUCCAACGCCAGCCUAUACCCUUUAACCAAGACCCAGUCACCAGCUCUGAUCGAUGACAAGAAGCUUUUGCCAUACCAUCAUAAACUACUAUUGGCCCUAACAGUAGAAAAAACCACAUAGUUGAUCCCGUGCUCAUUAUCACCCCUGCCACCAUCCAUAACUUAUCUUCCUUAACCAACAAUUCACACAUCAUUCAACCUUUUGCCGUUUUUCCAGCUUUAGUUCCCACUCGGUUGCCGACAUCCUCACACGCCUACCACAAGUGUGCAAAUCUUGCACGAUUUGGAGAAUUUAGCUUUAGUCUAUAAACUAAAGCUAAGAAUUUAGCUUUAGUUUAUAAAUUUAAUAACGCUAUUUAUUUGAUGUUGAACACAAGUCUAGGUGACAGUUACAAUAAUAGAUUUAUAGGCCCUGUUUAAGCCAAAUUCUUACAUUUUUAAACAGUGAUUUAAGAUCAUUUCAACCACACAUUCUUCAAUAAAAUAAUAUUACACACAAG
rnacentral:lncRNA from 1 species